UGCAGUCGAACGGCAGCACGGGUGCUUGCACCUGGUGGCGAGUGGCGAACGGGUGAGUAAUACAUCGGAACAUGUCCUGUAGUGGGGGAUAGCCCGGCGAAAGCCGGAUUAAUACCGCAUACGAUCUACGGAUGAAAGCGGGGGACCUUCGGGCCUCGCGCUAUAGGGUUGGCCGAUGGCUGAUUAGCUAGUUGGUGGGGUAAAGGCCUACCAAGGCGACGAUCAGUAGCUGGUCUGAGAGGACGACCAGCCACACUGGGACUGAGACACGGCCCAGACUCCUACGGGAGGCAGCAGUGGGGAAUUUUGGACAAUGGGCGAAAGCCUGAUCCAGCAAUGCCGCGUGUGUGAAGAAGGCCUUCGGGUUGUAAAGCACUUUUGUCCGGAAAGAAAUCCUUGGCUCUAAUACAGUCGGGGGAUGACGGUACCGGAAGAAUAAGCACCGGCUAACUACGUGCCAGCAGCCGCGGUAAUACGUAGGGUGCAAGCGUUAAUCGGAAUUACUGGGCGUAAAGCGUGCGCAGGCGGUUUGCUAAGACCGAUGUGAAAUCCCCGGGCUCAACCUGGGAACUGCAUUGGUGACUGGCAGGCUAGAGUAUGGCAGAGGGGGGUAGAAUUCCACGUGUAGCAGUGAAAUGCGUAGAGAUGUGGAGGAAUACCGAUGGCGAAGGCAGCCCCCUGGGCCAAUACUGACGCUCAUG
rnacentral:rRNA from 1 species